UACGUAGGGUGCAGGCGUUAAUCGGAAUUACUGGGCGUAAAGCGUGCGCAGGCGGUUUGCUAAGACAGGUGUGAAAUCCCCGGGCUUAACCUGGGAACUGCGCAUGUUACUGGCAGGCUUGAGUGUGGCAGAGGGGGGUGGAAUUCCACGUGUAGCAGUGAAAUGCGUAGAGAUGUGGAGGAACACCGAUGGCGAAGGCAGCCCCCUGGGCUAACACUGACGCUCAUGCACGAAAGCGUGGGGAGCAAACAGG
rnacentral:rRNA from 1 species